rnacentral:ncRNA from 2 species
AUAUAGAUAAACGGGUGCCAUUGUGCUGAGAUUUAUACCGUUUAACUCGAACAAGCUAGUACUUGCGGGAGGAUUAUCAUAUAUUGUUGA